CAUCCUUGGAGCACCUGCUUUUCAGCGCCCGUGAUCCGAAUCGGCCGGGGCUACUUCUGUGGCCCUGGACUCACGGCCUCUGACAGUGGCAGGGAACUCUUAGUGCCCAGGGCCUCCCCAGCUGCACUGGCUCCUGAGCCUGCAAGUGUGGGAGAACUUCCGGUGCCCGCCCCUUGGGGAGAGACCCCACUUGGAAACUCUGCCAGGGUACAGGCCUCACCCCCCGGAGAGACCCAGAGGGCACAGAGUUUGAAGAAGCCAGGAAGUGGGUGGCAGAGAAGCUGCAGUUCCAGAAAGACGUGGACGUGAACCUGUUUGAGAGCACCAUCCGCAUCCUGGGCGGCCUGCUGAGCACCUACCACCUGACGGGGGACAGCCUCUUCCUGGAGAAAGCCAAAGACUUUGGAAACCGGCUGCUGCCUGCCUUCAAGACCCCCUUCUCGGACGUGAACCUGGCCACGGGCCACGCGCACGUGCGUCGUGGGGACCCCACAGCAGCGAGUCACAGGAGUUCCGAGAGCGCACGCGCCACGGGGCUGGACCAUUCCAGGAAUGGACAGGCAACCGUGCUUGGUGCGCCUGGCUCCCUUUGUUAAACGCUGGGUGUGCGAGCGUCGGACCACGGCUGCCGGGAGGGCAGAGCCUCCCUCUCGCCGACAGUGGGAGGCUUGUCGCUGUCCUCCCCGUCCUGUGCCUGUCGGUGACCGAUGGCUUUUCCGAGGACAAAAGGAGGCAGAGCAGACCUGGAGCACGUCGCAUUGGCCGCGUUGAAGUGGCCUUUCCUGCUGAUUCACUGGGCUGCUGCGAACCUUGGCGCGUUUCUCAGAGUGCACAGGGCUGUUUGAACAGUGCCUGCCUCACCUCAGUGGGGCAGGACGGAGUGCAGACCUGGGAGAGUGGGGCACUCUGAGGGAUCCCUGCGUGGGAGGCUUGGGAGCCCCUGUCAGGUCCCAGUGGUUGUGUGACAUGCUGGCGGGGUGGGGGGGUGUCGGGAAACAGGAUCCCUCUCUCCUCCCUGGGGGAAUAAUAAGCCCUGAGUUCAGUCCACCUUUCUGAAGUUCAGCCCAGGUCCCAGCCUCCCCUACAGUCCUGGUGCCCCGUCCCUGAUCACGCUCCUUUCUCUGUCUGUCCUGAAUUGCAGGAGGCCACAGAGGCGGUGACCCGGCACGUCCCCGUGCUGUUCGGGAAGAAGGACGGUCUGGUGCCCAAGUUCAUCAGCGUUCUCAGUGGACACGCUGUGCCCUCUGAGUCCGCAUGCUGGGCGCCGGCGCUGACAGCGAUUACGACUGUCUGCUGAAGCGGUGGAUACAGGGAGGGAAGGAUGAGACAUGACGAGCCCCACUCGGGGCACUGGGCCCCAGUCUGUGUAAGGAAGCGGCCACCGAUUAGGCCUGGUCUCAGCCCCUAGGAAUGACCAUUUCCUAUUCCCCUGCCUCCCCAAGGGAGGGGCCGUCCCAUCCCAGUGAGUGGGCCCCGCAGGCUGGGCGAGCACUGGACAGUGCACUCCCCUCACUGCUGGGGCAAUGGCUUUAGAAAGUACAGUCAGCUCCUGUAGGGGAGCUUUGAUCACUGAUGUCUCAGCCAGGGGACACUUGGGGUGGCCAUCCCCGUGGACAUCUCAGAUGGAGGUCCAGCUUUAGGCUGCAGGACAGUUCACAGUCACCCUGUGGGGCUCCCAUCAGUGCCAUCGGGGGCAGUGCGGCCUGACUCCCCAGAACUGAAGCAGCAGGGGCUGAGGUAGGAGAUAGGCCCUCUGGGCCCAGGGCUGAGACAACAUCAGGACGGCUCUGACUCAGGACCCUGGUGUGUGGAGCAGGA